CAUCCAUCAAGUGCACCGCCUCACGGAGCACAUCUUAUUAGGGCUGAAUAGGCGGAAACACAUCCCGACAGUUGCCCUCUUCUUCGAUAUAGCGAAGGCGUUCGACAAAGUCUGGCACAACCUUCGAUCAACAAUAGUAACUAGAUUUCGGGUCGGUGCAUAAAAUCCGUCUCGUCAAAUAACAGCGCACUUGAAAUGUUAGUUCACUUCAAACACAGCCAAUGUCAACCCGUCUCACAAUACCGCAGUGUGUAUUAAAAAGUUGCAAAAUAAGGCCCGAAAAAGCAAUUUAACGGCCGGAAUAUCUUACUUUCGCUUUCCUAGCAAUCACGUGUGCAGAAUGGAUCUCGAUUGUCGCCAGAGAAACAAGAGAUGACUUUUGAGCCAGCUAAGAUCUCCACUUAUUGACACUGGACAUCUUUGCCUUUCGUGCUCACGGCUACUGAAACGUGGCCGAAACAUUGUAAUAAAAAUACCACGCUUGAAACCGUUUAAA